CCCUAGUUGUCAUUGCUAACUCUACCAUCUCCGACGUUGAACCGCCAUUCAGAAACAUCUAAACAAAAGCCUAUAGUCCCUUUUAUGACUUUCACUCUACUCACCAUCACUCAUCACCAUCUCAAGACCUCACAGAUCACUGACCUCCCAUAUCCGCCACCACUCAUCAUUGUCACACUCACCUACACCAACUAUUAGAAGCCUAAACCUAUACCGAUAAAUCCCCAC
rnacentral:lncRNA from 1 species